CUCUGGAUCUGGUUUGAACUGAGGUGAGGUCAGAUUGAAGUGGGGCAUUAGUAGGGUGGCCUGUGUUUCAGAGACAGAGCCUUCAGUCACAGGGAUCUCGGUGGUUUUUAGGGUUCAUAUGAAACUGAAAAGCUGCUCUGUGGUUGGUGGUGGACUGUGUGAGGUUUCGUUUCUCGACUUCCUGCGUGCUGAACAGUCCUCGCUCUGUGUUCCACGCCGUCAUCUCACUCACCGGCGGUUAGAUGACUUACAGCCUCUUCUAACUUCAACCACAAGAACCACAUCUGAGCAGCACAUCAGUGUGAGAACGAGUGUUGGUAAUGUGGCAUAUUUCAACAUUAGAGAGGACUGCGAACCGUGACCUCCAGCACGCACUGGGCAGGAUUACAGGCGAAUGUGAGGCAGUCGGGUCAGCACCUGCAAGUCUGAGGAGUGGGGUCUUCUUCUUCAGUGAGGCGUGUUAGCAUGGCGUCUUCCAGGUGGUGAGAAGCUUCAGCUCUCCUGGAAGGAAUUUGUCUCUUUGUAACGGGUCACCGUCGUCUGACUGUAAAACUCCACAAUGACAGCGAGGAAUCCCGAGUCAGGUUUAUGGGACGUGCACUGUAACACCUUCAACAGCUUUCCAAAAUAAACACACACACAAUAUAUAUAUAUCAAUUCAAUACAACAGCUUUGCCAUAAAAUCUCCCAUUUCAAAGGUUAUAUGUUCGGUUUUUGCUGUUAUUGUCAGAAAUAUGUAAACUAUAUGUUUAUUAGUGAGGUUGUACAGUAGUUAAAGUAGUUCUCAAUAUAAUGCAACUCCUAUAACCUCAAUGCUAAAACAUACAUUUAAUUAACACAUAAUUAACACCUCAAUAACAGUUUAAAACCUGUUAUUACUCAAACAUUACAAGCAUCAUGAAAGUAGACAGAUCUGUAGGCGACAAGAGGGGAGAUGCUGCCCCCGUUAUUAGUGAAAUCACUGAAAUGCAUCCGCCUUGUUAACCCGCCAUACCCUCUCUCAUCCCCUCAUAGUAAAAAGAUCACUAACAUGUGGGCCGCAAUCCGGGUUCAAACCCAUAGCCAUCGCAUCCCAACCCCCACACAUAACCGAUAAAUGAUAGAGAAUUAUUCAGUUUUGACAGUGUUUCUAUUUUGAAUGUUGCAGCUUUUCUAGCCUUUACAGUGCUGACUUAAUGGCCCAGGAAACUCAUCUCAUGUGAUUCUUUUCAGCCAGUAAAAUCUGUGUAAUCUGAUUAUGUGAUAAAAAGCUCUCAGAUAAGUAUAUCAUGGUGAAUUUCUGCUGUUCAAAAGGCUCAAAAAGUGACUUGAAAGAGCUGUCGAGCUCAGUAAUGUACAGUUAGAUAUUGAUUCCCUGAUUUAUGUUGAAUUGCCGCAAAAUUAUAACCCUGCCACCAGGGCUGAAAGCUCUACUUGGCCGUUGUCUCCCAUAAAAAAAGGUUAAACAGUGAGUCUUUAACAUACUGUAGAUUCUAAACUAAAGAACGACAGGGAGAUUAGGUGCACUAUCUGCCAUACAAACUGUGAGGUAAGGUGAAUAUACCGUAUUUUAAGUAUAUUUUGAUGAUUAUUAUAAUAAUAUUGUGAAUUCUUUUUUAAUUUUCCCAGACCUGCACACAGGAGAGACGUUAGGCAGUCGGAGAAAAAUAAUUUCACAUGAAUUUUACUGGUGCAGGAGUAGUAGAGAGGGUACAGGGGCAGAGGUGUUGGUAUGUUGGUAUAUGUAUGUAUAUGUUAGUUUAAUCUGCCCGACAGAUCUUCUGUCAGUUUUAUUUUAGAUCUCUAAUAUUCUCUAAACUGUACAUCUUAUAAAACGAGAGACUUAAAAGAACCGGUCCUUUCAUCACUAGGGUGAUAUUUAUGUUCUAAUGUGUUGUUUUCACAUGCUUUGAUUAAAACAUAUAUCUUACACUUACAUAUACAUAUACAUACACUUUGAAAGUAUAAACUGAUUCAUCCUUUUUUGGUUCAUGUGAAUCACAGAAGAGGAAGAGGAAGAGGAAGCCCUGAGCUCAAAUUCUUCAGGUUUUACAAACUCAAAAUACUCAAAUCCGACACAUGGCAGACGAACAUACCACAGAUACUCUUGCUCCGGUAGAUGACUUUAAUGCAGCCCAACAUACACUCAGUAUGAGAGGGGCCACACAGAGAGCCAGUCUGACCCCUGUUUCCUCUGACGCACAGUUUCCAGAGAGCUUCAGCAGCGAGUGGACGGUGGAGGUGAACGAUAUCCUCACCUUGGUCCUACUGCAGAUGUGUUUUCACUGUACGGUAGCCAAUGAGCGGCCUUCAAACUCUGGUUUGUCCAUCUGAGAGAGACGGACUGAGACUGGAAGAACAUCAAGAAACGACGCAGCUAUCGGCCCUCUGAGAGAGACGGAGGUAGAGAGAGGGAUGUGGGGGCAGAUUUUACAAGACAGACAAAAAUCUCUGCCCACCUUUUCUUUUCUUCCUCCUCUCCAUCAUUCCUUCACCAUAUGGAGCUCCUAACCCCUCGUCUCAUAAAAGGCUGAAGGACAGAAACCUGGAGCAGCCACAGGCGGAAGACAUGACCUCUGAAAAAGAAAGAACGGAGAGAGGAAGAAAAUACCCAAAGAGAAGAGAUUUAUUCAUUCAUGUAUAGGACAUGUGUGGAAACGGGAUGAUUUCUAUCCAUUAUUGAUGGCUGUAGCUGAAUGAGAUAAACUAUUCUUUAAUGAGUUCUUUAUUGGCUUUUUACCUCACAGAAUAACAGCAGAUAUUAAUGUGAUUCACUCGAUACACACAGUAUACAUCCAAAUGAGUUUAGACUGAGAUUUAAUAUCUGUUGACUGUCUGACUGUUUUGAGGGAUUUCUGCAGCCUAAAAUGUUUUUUUUUUUUUUAAAUGUGAUGCAUGUUUUUAAUCACUCCCUAUCUGAUCCAGCUGUCUGUCUGUCUGUCUGUCUGUCUGUCUGUCUGUCAGUGUCAUUUGCACUCUCAAAGGUUGAACGUCUCUCAGUGGCAGUUGGCUGUGGAGCUGGACAGACGCCAGCGACGGCCUUUGUUUUGGCCUAGUAUCGCUCUGGGAAAAGACUUCCUGUGGGCCGACACAAGGAUGCUUGUGAAGUUACUCAUAUGUCACUGAAACACAGACAGUUGUUGGGAGGUUUUCAGCCCCCGUGUGAUUGUCAGCAUUUUUCUACAUUCUGCAGCAGGCGUGCAGCCAUGUAGAUAACGCUGGUAUUCGUGUCUGACCUCACUGGAAAUAAACUCUGGACACAGCAGAGAUGUUCACAAGUCUUUUUUUGCAAGUCCAAGUCAAGUCUCAAGUCUUUGUGGGGUGAGACUUGGUCAAGUCUCAAGUCUUUGGUCACGAGUCCAAGUCAAGUCUCAAGUCUCUAAAAAAUAAAAGUUAUAUGUCUCUUCUGA